AUGUGCAGCCGUCUGGUUCGACCCCACCUUCACAGGGUGGAAGUCGUAGGUUCGAAUCCUGCUGUGCCCACCA
rnacentral:tRNA from 1 species